UACGUAGGUGGCAAGCGUUGUCCGGAUUUACUGGGCGUAAAGCGUAUGCAGGCGGAUACUUAAGUAGGAAGUGAAAGGUGGGAGCUCAACUCCCACAUUGCUCCCUAUACUGGGUGUCUUGAGUGGCGGAGAGGGAGAUGGAACGGACACGUGUAGCGGUGAAAUGCGUUGAUAUGUGUCGGAACACCAAUGGCGAAAGCAAUCUCCUGGACGCAAACUGACGCUGAGAUACGAAAGCCAAGGUAGCAAACAGGAUU
rnacentral:rRNA from 1 species